rnacentral:tmRNA from 1 species
GGGGAUGAAAGGAUUUCGACGGGGAUCCGGAAUUUCGGUAAGCGGGCAGAGAAGUGGGCUCUCUUUAAAAUCCACAACGUUUAAAUAAUAAACGACAACAAUAAAACAGUUUUAGCAGCUGCUUAAUUGCAGCCGCCGUUCCCCCCGGGAGUACCGCGGCCCGGACGGGAGCGUCAUUCAGCGGUGAACGUGAACAGACACAGCGUUUCGUAAUCUGUCAUGCAUAACGAAACUGCCCGAACGUAAGCCUGCCGACAGGCUCGCGCAAGGGGAGAAAAAAAUAUAUCGGCUACGCUCGUAGAAAGCCGGGAGGAUGGGUUUUCGGACAGGGGUUCGACUCCCCUCAUCUCCACCA